CCCCCGCCCCCUGUAAGAACCAUGAUGUUCGCACGCAGCAGCAGAGUCAGCGUCGCCGUCUCUGCCGCUGCCGCUGCCGCCGCCACCGAUGUCGACGUCUUGACUGUGUCCCGUUCGCCGCUGCCGUGUCGCGUCGCGUCGCGCUCUGUGUUUGAAAGGCCUAAAAAAAACUCGGGUGUGUUCGUUCGGCGGCACCGAGCAAUGUGAAACGGCAACGUUCAUUUGUGCCCCGAAAAAAGAUAAGAGUAAAAAUAGAAGAGCAAAAGAAAACGUUGCAAAUAUACGAAAAUUUAUCAAGAAUCUAAAGAUAACAAGUAACAACAAAAUAUAGCAGUAUGUGUGUGUAAAACCUACACUGUAAAUAUAUAAAAAGUUAAAGCUAAAGCAAGAAAGAUUUAUUUAACCAAAAAAAUAACCAUAAAAUAACGAGGAAAUCCCUCAGUCAAACAAAAGUGUUGGAAAACAAAAACAUUAAAGACAGCAGACAGCAACAACAAGAACGGGCGCAAGAUGCCUGCGCAACAGCCAUGUGCCUAGGCAGAGGUUGUUGCCUGUUGCAACAACUAAGCAAAAAACAACGACAGCAACAGCAGGACCGCGAAUCACACAAACUGCAACGACACCAACCACUCCAGUGUUGAAAAACGACAGAGAAAAUAUAAUCAAAGCAACCAUCCCCGCAAACAUAACGUCAAAAGUGCAGUUUUCUUCGAUACUUCAAUUUUUUUGAUAGUGUUUUUUUCUCUGUCUCUGUGUGUGUGAGUGCGUGUGGCGAGUGAGUUUGUGUGUGUGGUUCGUGUGUUGGGGAGAGUGAGAAUGUGGCAGUGCAAUGCUAUGAGCAGCUCCCAAAUAAUUACAACAACAACAAAUUCAACA